CCUUUUUAUCUUUGUUGUUCCGAUAUUUAAGAGCUGCAUUUCUUCCUGAAGCUCUAAUGAAUUUCUCUCUUGAUUGCAGGUGCUGAAGAAUUGCAAAUGAAGAAUGAGGGAGACCCCGACAGAAUCCACAUACAGGAGAAGCCGCUUAAAUAUUCAGGGUCUGGAAAGAGAUUCAGUCAGAGCUCCCACUCAACUUCCAAUCUAACAAAUCUCUUGGGGAAGAAACAAUAUCAGUGUUUGGAAUGUGGAAAGAACUUCUGUCGGAAAUCCAACCUCACUUCUCAUCAAAUAACUCACAGCACAGAGAAACCAUAUCAGUGCCAAGAAUGUGGAAAGAGUUUCAGCUGGAAGAGAAGUUUCACCUCCCACCAAAAAAUUCAUACAGGGGAAAAACCCUAUCAGUGUUUGGAAUGUGGAAAGAACUUCAGUCGAAAGGAUGCUUUCACCUUCCAUCAAAGAAUUCAUACAGGGGAGAAACCAUAUCAGUGCAUGGUAUGUGGAAAGAGCUUCAGUCGGAAGCAAAGUCUAACUUUCCAUCAAAGAAUUCAUACCGGGGAGAAACCCUAUACGUGCUUAGAAUGUGGAAAGAGCUUCCGUCAGAAGGAUAGUCUCACUUCCCAUCAAAGAAUUCAUACAGGGGAGAAACCAUAUCAGUGCUUAAAAUGUGGGAAGGGGUUCUAUGGGAAGAAUAUGCUCACUUCUCAUGAAAAAAUUCAUACAGCGGAUAAACCCUAUCAGUGCUUGGAAUGUGGAAAGAGUUUCCGUCAGAAGAGUGAGCUCACUUCCCAUCAAAGAACUCAUACAGGGGAGAAACCAUAUGAGUGCAUGGAAUGUGGAAAGAGCUUCACUCACAGAGCUGGCCUCGUGUACCAUCAAAGAUUCCAUACAGGGGAAAAACCAUAUGAGUGCUUGGAGUGUGGAAAAAAAUUCAGUUGGAAGAAUAUGCUCACUUCGCACCAAAUAAUUCACACAGGGGAGAAUCCCUAUCAGUGCUUGGAAUGUGGAAAGAGCUUCAGUCGCAAGGAUAGUCUGACUCUCCAUCAAAGGAUUCAUACAGGGGAUAAACCAUAUCACUGCUUAGAAUGUGGAAAGAGCUUCACCCAGAGGGCCGCUCUCAUGUCCCAUAAAAGAAUUCAUACAGGGGAGAAACCGUAUAAGUGCUUGGAAUGUGGAAAGAACUUUGCUCACAAAGCUGGUCUCAUGUCCCAUCAAAGAAUUCAUACAGGGGAGAAACCAUAUGAGUGCUUGGAAUGUGGAAAGAGGUUCAGCUGGAAGAAUAUGCUCACUUCCCACAAGAUAAUUCACACAGGGGAGAACUAUCCAUGCUUGGAAUGCGGAAAGAGCUUCAGUCGGAAGGAUAGUCUGACUUCCCAUCAAAUAAUUCAUACAGGAGAGAAACCUUAUCAGUGCUUGGAAUGUGGGAAGGGGUUCUAUGGGAAGAAUAUUCUCACUUCUCAUCAAAAGGUUCAUACAGGGGAAAAACCCUAUUUUUGCCUGGAAUGUGGAAAGAGUUUCCGUCAGAAGAGCGAGCUCACUUCCCAUCACAGAAUUCAUACAGGGGAGAAGCCAUAUCAGUGCUUGGAGUGUGGAAAGAGGUUCACUCACAGAGCUGGUGUCAUGUACCAUGAAAGAAUACAUACAGGAGAGAAACCAUAUGAGUGCUUGGAGUGUGGAAAGAGGUUCAGCUGGAAGAAUAUGCUCACUUCCCACCAAAUAAUACACACUGGGGAGAAUCCCUAUCCUUGUUUGGAAUGUGGAAAGAACUUCACUCGGAAAGAUAGUCUGACUUCCCAUCAAAGAAUUCAUACAGGGGAGAAACCGUAUCAGUGCCUGGAAUGUGGAAAGAGCUUCACUCAGAGAGCCAGUCUUAUGUACCAUCAAAGAAUUCAUAUGAGAAGGAACCAUAUUGGUCCUUGGAAGGUGGAAGAGCUUCAAUCAGAGGGCCAGUCUCACUUCUCAUCAAUUAACUUACCGUGGGGAGAAACCAUAUAAGUUUUGGAAUGUAGAAAGAGCUUUACCCACUCACUGUCAAAGAAUUCAUAUGUUGGAAACCAUGGAAAUGCUUGUAAUGUGAAAUGAGCUUCAGCUGUAGCUCCAAUUUCACUUUGCAUCAAGAAACUCACAUUGAGGAGAAUCAUAGAGUCUCAGAAUUAUGGAGUUGUAGCAUUUGAGAGGACUCUGUGUGUUGUCUAGUUCACCCAUCUGGAAUGCAGGAAUCUACACUAUGCCAGAUGAGCAUGCAACCUCUGCUUAAAAACCUUCAUGGAAGGAGAACCCACCUCCUUCUGAGGCAGCCUGUUCCACCGUUGAAUAGCUCUUACUCGUGGAAGGUUCUUCCUGAUUUUUAGUCUGAUUCUCUUUUCUUGCAACUUGCAUCCAUUGCUUCAGGUCCUAUCUUCCAGAGCAGAACAAAACAGCCUUUCUUCAUCUUGUCCCCUCUUCCAUGAGACAGCCCUUGAGAUAUUUGAAGAUGGCUAUUAUAUCUCUUCUCAGUGUCUUCUUUUCUAGGCUGACCAUUCCUCAUAAGGCUUGGUUUCCAGACCCUUGAACGUCUUGGUCACCCUCCUCUGCACCCAUUCUGGAUGGCUUGUUUUUUGUUCCUGUUCCAUGGUGUUAGGGACUGGGCAGAGGAGGAAUGGUGGAGACCACCUCCCCAGCCUGACCUUUCCAGAGAAGAAGACAGUUCAGAAUUACAACAGGGGUUUGAGGGAGGUCACAGCUCAGAGGCAGAUGAGGGGGAAAGCUGGGAAAUAAGGGGACAUGAGAUGGAGGAAGAGGAAUCACCAGGAGGGCAAUAGCUGACAGACACAGUGUCUUUAGAAAGCAUUCUAGACCCCCCUCUCCCAGAACCCGGCAAGCCUUGAAAGUACAGUGGUACCUCGGGUUACAUACACUUCAGGUUACAGACUCUGCUAACCCAGAAAUAUUACUUUGGGUUAAGAACUUUGCUUCAGGAUGAGAACAGAAAUCGUGCUCUGGCGGUGCAGCAGCAGGAGGAGACCCCAUUAGCUAAAGUGGUGUUUCAGGUUAAGAACAGUUUCAGGUUAAGAACAGACCUCCAGAACGAAUUAAAUUCUAAACCCAAGGUACCACUGUAGAGCAAAGGGCCCUCAGCGCCACCCGUAGGGGAGAAGGUGACAAAUGAGGGAGAAAAAGGGAAGAAGAAGAAGAGUUUGGAUUUGAUAUCUCGCUUUAUCACUACCCGAAGGAGUCUCAAAGCAUCUAACAUUCUCCUUUCCCUUCCUCCCCCACAACAAACACUCUGUGAGGUGAGUGGGGCUGAGAGACUUCAGAGAGCUGUGACUAGCCCAAGGUCACCCACCAGCUGCAUGUGGAGGAGCGGCGACGCGAACCCGGUUCACCAGAUUACGAGACUACCACUCUUAACCACUACACCACACUGGCUCCCAGGGAGUGGAGAGUCACGCAGGACAACGCCAUUAGUCCCAGAGGCUGCGUUCCAAGCCUCUGUCUGUAAAUAUUGAAUAAAAAGCAGAUGGUAAGGACUUUUCAUUGUCUGUUCCUGGCAACCUGCUGUAGGGGCUGUUUCCUCUGCUGCCUGACAUGUAGACUAGUCUGACUUUUAUUGUAUGUCAAAAAAUUCAUUAAAUUUCCUUCUGCCCUCACUCUUUUGGAUGCUUCCUUGAUUUCAUUCACCAACGCAGGAUCACUCUG
rnacentral:lncRNA from 1 species